rnacentral:rRNA from 1 species
AGCAGCCGCGGUAAUUCCAGCUCCAAUAGCGUAUAUUAAAGUUGUUGCAGUUAAAAAGCUCGUAGUUGAAUUUCGGAGAUCAAAUUGUUGGUCGUGCCUUGGUACGCACUGGCAUUAUGGUUUCUCCCUUCUGAAGAACCAAGAUGUCAUUAAUUUGGUGUCUUGGGGAAGUCAGGACUGUUACUUUGAAAAAAUUAAGUAGUGUUUAAAGACAGGACUCGCGCUUGAAUACAUUAGCAUGGAAUAAUGAAAUAGGACGUUUGAUUCUAUUUUGUUGGUUUCUAGGAUCGACGUAAUGAUUAAUAGGGAUAGUUGGGGGCAUUAGUAUUCAAUUGUCAGAGGUGAAAUUCUUGGAUUUAUUGAAGACUAACUACUGCGAAAGCAUUUGCCAAGGAUGUUUUCAUUAAUCAAGAACGAAAGUUAGGGGAUCGAAGACGAUCAGAUACCGUCGUAGUCUUAACCAUAAACUAUGCCGACUAGGGAUCGGAUGAUGUUAAUUUUUAAUGACUCAUUCGGCGAC